rnacentral:lncRNA from 1 species
GCGGGGGCGAGGGCGUCGGAGUCAGGGCCGGGCGCGGAUCUAGUCUGCGUUUUUUUCCUUUUUUUUGGCAACCAAAAUAAUUUUUUUUCGCAAAUUGGAGUGUGCAGUCGGAAAUUACAUUUUCUGCAAGUGCAUGCUCUAGUAAAGUUCUUUUCUAAACAAAACAUCUAUACAUAACUUACAUCAAUCAAUCGACCAAAAAAAUUUCUAAGAAAAAUACAUCUGUUUACAACUAAUUAACAAAAGUACUAGAUAUGGUUUUAAAAUCGGAUUAUAAAUAAAAGCCGGAUAGAAAACCAUUCCAUUUCCAUGAGAAAUAAAAAACUAGGGGCCAGCGCCAGCCUCAGCUUGGG